rnacentral:rRNA from 1 species
CGAAAUUCCUUGUCGGGUAAGUUCCGACCUGCACGAAUGGCGUAACGACUUCCCCGCUGUCUCCAACAUAGGCUCAGCGAAAUUGAACUCUGAGUUAAGAUGCUCAGUACCCGCGGUUAGACGGAAAGACCCCGUGAACCUUUACUAUAGCUUGACACUGAACAUUGAGCCUUGAUGUGUAGGAUAGGUGGGAGGCUUUGAAGUGUGGACGCCAGUCUGCAUGGAGCCGACCUUGAAAUACCACCCUUUAAUGUUUGAUGUUCUAACGUUGGCCCGUAAUCCGGGUUGCGGACAGUGUCUGGUGGGUAGUUUGACUGGGGCGGUCUCCUCCUAAAGAGUAACGGAGGAGCACGAAGGUUGGCUAAUCCUGGUCGGACAUCAGGAGGUUAGUGCAAUGGCAUAAGCCAGCUUGACUGCGAGCGUGACGGCGCGAGCAGGUGCGAAAGCAGGUCAUAGUGAUCCGGUGGUUCUGAAUGGAAGGGCCAUCGCUCAACGGAUAAAAGGUACUCCGGGGAUAACAGGCUGAUACCGCCCAAGAGUUCAUAUCGACGGCGGUGUUUGGCACCUCGAUGUCGGCUCAUCACAUCCUGGGGCUGAAGUAGGUCCCAAGGGUAUGGCUGUUCGCCAUUUAAAGUGGUACGCGAGCUGGGUUUAGAACGUCGUGAGACAGUUCGGUCCCUAUCUGCCGUGGGCGCUGGAGAACUGAGGGGGGCUGCUCCUAGUACGAGAGGACCGGAGUGGACGCAUCACUGGUGUUCGGGUUGUCAUGCCAAUGGCACUGCCCGGUAGCUAAAUGCGGAAGAGAUAAGUGCUGAAAGCAUCUAAGCACGAAACUUGCCCCGAGAUGAGUUCUCCCUGAGACUUAGAGUCUCCUGAAGGAACGUUGAAGACGACGACGUUGAUAGGCCGGGUGUGUAAGCGCAGCGAUGCGUUGAGCUAACCGGUACUAAUGAACCGUGAGGCUUAACCUU